GACGAACGCUGGCGGCGUGCCUAAUACAUGCCAGUUGAGCGCUGAAGGUUGGUACUUGUACCAACUGGAUGAGCAGCGAACGGGUGAGUAACGCGUGGGGAAUCUGCCUUUGAGCGGGGGACAACAUUUGGAAACGAAUGCUAAUACCGCAUAAAAACUUUAAACACAAGUUUUAAGUUUGAAAGAUGCAAUUGCAUCACUCAAAGAUGAUCCCGCGUUGUAUUAGCUAGUUGGUGAGGUAAAGGCUCGCCAAGGCGAUGAUACAUAGCCGACCUGAGAGGGUGAUCGGCCACAUUGGGACUGAGACACGGCCCAAACUCCUACGGGAGGCAGCAGUAGGGAAUCUUCGGCAAUGGACGAAAGUCUGACCGAGCAACGCCGCGUGAGUGAAGAAGGUUUUCGGAUCGUAAAACUCUGUUGGUAGAGAAGAACGUUGGUGAGAGUGGAAAGCUCAUCAAGUGACGGUAACUACCCAGAAAGGGACGGCUAACUACGUG
rnacentral:rRNA from 1 species